UGCGGAUUUUGUUUACAUCACAUCUGGUGCCGGCUUCAAAAUGACUGGAUGUCACAGAAGAUUGUUAUCCUGCGACGCUCUUAAUAAACUCUGAUUUCAUUAUUCUUUCCGAUUGUUUUGUUGAGAGUAGUAAGAUGCCUCCUUUAGUGAACCUGAAGAAGUCAUACCACCAACACGUGUAGACCUUGUGGCUCACAUGAAUAACAGAUCGUUGAUUUUCACGUUUGUUUUAUUUGGAACUGUCAUAUAUUUGUUUUAUACUUUUAAUUCCUGUCUCUUGUCGAAUAUCAACAAAUCAUUUCGACGUAGAGUACGUGCCUUUUCAUUUGGCACUCUACAAAAGGAAAAUGUUGAACCAAAGCGUGAUGAACCACAACUUUCUUCUGUUAUUGAAAGGCAAAGUGUAGUCCGUGUUGUACCUCUUACUUGGAAUGCUAUAUACACAGAUCUGCAGGAUGGAGCUCCGAAAUAUCGAUUCCUGAAACAUCAGGGACUUGAACCAAGUCGUAAAUUUCCUGAUGCUCUUAUAAUUGGCGUUAAGAAGGGUGGAACAAGAGCUCUUUUAGAAUUCAUAAGAUUACAUCCUGAUGUAAGAGCAGCGGGGUCAGAAGUUCACUUUUUUGAUAAAUUUUAUGCAAAGGGUUUUGAGUGGUACAGAAACCGCAUGCCACCAACUCUAGAAGGACAAGUGACUAUGGAAAAAACACCAAGCUACUUUGUUACAAGAGAGGCUCCACAGAGAGUCUAUGAGAUGAGUUCUGUAACAAAACUGCUUGUGGUAGUACGAGAUCCAGUAACAAGAGCAAUUUCAGAUUAUACACAAGCUGUCAGCAAGAAACUUGAUAUGCCACAAUUUGAGGAGUUGGCUUUUUUUAACUUUACUGGAAGAGAAGGUGAAACAGUGGUGGAUACAUCAUGGGGACCUGUGAAAAUUGGUAUUUACGCACGGCACUUGGAACGAUGGUUACGAUAUUUCCCACUACGACAGUUGCAUUUUGUCAGUGGAGAGCAGCUUGUAAUCGACCCAGCAGCAGAGAUGGCUAGAGUGCAGGAUUUCUUGUCUUUGAAGAGAGUAGUUACAGAGAAACAUUUCUAUUUCAAUUCAACAAAAGGUUUUCCCUGCCUCAUGAAAUCUGAGGGUCAUUCUACCCCACAUUGUCUUGGUAAAACAAAGGGACGAAAUCACCCUUAUAUUAAUCCGGCUGCUAUUCAACAUCUUCGGGAGUUUUACCGACCAUUCAAUGCUCGUUUCUAUCAGCUAACUGGCAUUAACUUUGGAUGGCCAUGAUGUAGUCUACUGUUUGCAGAAGAAAACUCAUUCUGAGAUGAUCGGGUAGCUUUAAAGCAGUGCAGCAGUUGUCUGCAAGUUCAGUAACAGUCAUAUCUGCAGCAGUGCAAAAGAGAUUCCAUCAAAUGCAAAUGGAAAUAUGAAUAGCAGUAGGACUUGUGAGUAGUAUGUGACAAUAUUCGUCAGUGAGUAGAUAUGUUUUGUUAACAAUGUUGUAAUGAAAAAGAUCGUUGCCAAGAUAAUGUAGCUGAUUAGGACUGUUAAACUGAAAAGGAAUGUGAUAUUCAUUUUUAUCAUUUCUGACAGCAGGGUAAGUGAAAAGGUUGAUUGCAGUCUGCUGAACUACAUUACAUCAAGUGUUUUUGUCAGGUUGCGAAUUAAAAGGAAUACCCAGAAAAAUAAGGGCCUCCACACUUGUAGGGUAGUUACAAAAAGCUUUUGUUAGGACAGCAUAGUAAGUAUUAGCUUCCCAUGGUCUUUCUCAUUUCCAUUAUCUGUAUACUGAAUUUAGUUUUACACUGAUGUGGCUUGUUAAAAGUGCAGUCAUUUCUGAAGCACUAUAAGACUCCCACUUACAUUCCAAAAAGUUCUUGAAAUGAAAUGUUAUAACAAAUGUUCAGUCUGCAUAAAAUAUUAGUACAGAACAAAUCUGAGUUGGAGAUUGUUUCAUUGUGGUACAUUUCUUGUAAUCUCCAAAAUUCUCACAAGUGAAAAAAAUUGUAAGCUGAUCCAAUUGACAAUCAGUGUACAGUAUUUUCGUACAGCAAAAAGUGAUAGUAAGUAGUGAUGGAUUGUGAGACACGCAUUAGUUGAGUUCAACUAAAAAUGUGCAAUACAAGUAAUAGAAAAACACAGUGAAUUUAAAAUUACCAGAUUCUUGGUUUCUAGGGUUUUAGAAACUGCUACACUGAUUGAUAAUGUCAAAACAUUUCUUAAAGCUAUAAACAGAUUAAGAAAUAACAAUGACAGUAAGAAAUUUUAUGUAACCUAUGUCUCCUUUUGGAAAUCAAGUGAGAAUGUUGUAUUUUGAAGGGCGCAAGAGUAUCAGCAGUCUUAAUAAUUGCAUCUCCCUGUUUGAUGGAUGGGGGAGAAUGUAUUUUCUACUAGUGUCUUGAAAUUCACCAUGAAUUUUAAAAGUAUACUACAUUCCCUUACAGUUUCAGUUCACUUCUAAUUGAAAUUUAAUACUCAAUCAACUUAUGUUGGACAUUUGUAUUGUAUGAUAUAUUUCUUAUUUGCACUUUAAUUUUUUCACAAGCAAUUGGUGAACUUAAUUUGUCCUUAAAUUUUUUCAUAAGAAGUUGGUGAACUUUUGUUACAUUCCGUACAGCAAGAAUUCUGUUAAUCCUGCGGUUGAUGCAUUAAACCAUCAUUAAUUGCUAGUUAUAUUUCUAGAUUUAACAAGUUUGUGUACUUCUUUAAGUUGUAUUAAAACAAAUGAAGCCAUUCAGUGACAAAUUUUGACACCAUACAUAACAAAUGGACCAAAUAAAUCACGUAAUGUAACAGACACUCAGCCAUAGGUGUUGUUUAUACAUGUGUGGAGUGGCAAUCAAAUUUUUUCCUUGUGUGUAACAACUGAGCUAAUAAAUGUAUACUUGAUUCUCCAAACAUGAUCCU